UUUCCGUAGGUGAACCUGCGGAAGGAUCAUUAAUGAGUUGUCAUGGGGUUCGAUGCUGGCAGCCAAUUUUUGGAUGCAUGUGCUUGCCCUAACAAUCAUCUUCCAAACACCUGUGCACAUUUUUGAGGGAGUCUUGAGUUGGUUGCCGCUCUUGGGUGAUUUUCUCACAUUCCCUUAAAUCAUUAUACGCUAUUAACAAUGUUGUACGUGCUCUGUGCCGCAAGGCUAUUAAUAUAAUACAACUUUUAACAACGGAUCUCUUGGCUCUC
rnacentral:misc_RNA from 1 species